GCAACUCGCCUGCAUGAAGUCGGAAUUGCUAGUAAUCGCGGAUCAGCAUGCCGCGGUGAAUACGUUCCCGGGCCUUGUACACACCGCCCGUCACACCAUGGGAGAUGGAUAUGCCCAAAGUCAGUGACCUAACCGCAAGGGAGGAGCUGCCUAAGGUGGAGCCAUUAACUGGGGUGAAGUCGUAACAAGGUAUC
rnacentral:rRNA from 1 species